rnacentral:rRNA from 1 species
GACGAACCGUGCGAACGUUAUUCGGAAUCACUGGGCUUAAAGGGUGCGUAGGCGGGCCACCAAGUCAGGGGUGAAACCCCACGGCUCAACCGUGGAAGUGCCUCUGAUACUUGUGGCCUCGAGGGGUGCAGGGGCGUGCGGAACUCAGGGUGGAGCGGUGAAAUGCGUAGAUAUCAGGAGGAACACCGGUGGCGAAGGCGGCUCUCUGGACCACAACUGACGCUGAGGCGCGAAAGCUAGGGGAGCAAACAGG